rnacentral:misc_RNA from 1 species
GAGAAGAACGUAGCGAAAUGCGAUACGUAAUGUGAAUUGCAGAAUUCAGUGAAUCAUCGAAUCUUUGAACGCAUAUUGCGCUCUCUGGUAUUCCGGAGAGCAUGCUUGUUUGAGUAUCAGUAAACACCUCAACUUCCAUAUCUUUUUUGAAAUGGGAGUUGGACUUGAGUGAUCCCAACGCUUUUCCUCACCGAAAAGUGGCGGGUUACUUGAAAUGCAGGUGCAGCUGGACUUUUCUCUGAGCUAUAAGCAUAUCUAUUUAGUCUGCCUAAAAAACAGAUUAUUACCUUUGCUGCAGCUAACAUAAAGGAGAUUAGUUCUUGUGCUGACUGAUGCAGGAUUCACAAAGACGGCUUCGGCCGACUUUGUAAACUCGAUCUCAAAUCAAGUAAGACUACCCGCUGAACUUAAGCAUAUCAAUAAGCGGAGGA